GCAAGUCGAACGGUAAUUACGCUUUCGGGUGUAAACGAGUGGCGCACGGGUGCGUAACGCGUAUGCAACCUACCCUAUACAGGGGGAUAGCCCGUGGAAACAUGGAUUAAUACCCCAUAGUAUUGUAAAAUCACCUGAUUUAACAAUUAAAGAUUUAUCGGUAUAGGAUGGGCAUGCGUCUGAUUAGUUAGUUGGUGAGGUAACGGCUCACCAAGGCAACGAUCAGUAGGGGGUCUGAGAGGAUGAUC
rnacentral:rRNA from 1 species